GGGGGGGGGGGGGGGGGGGCGGGGGGCGGGGGGGGCGGGCGGGAGGGCGCCUUUGGGGGUGCUCGGGUGGCGGACGGGUGGGUGACACGUGAGUAACCUGCCCUUGACUUCGGGAUACCUUCAGGAAACUGGGGCUAAUCCCGGAUAGGAAUCCUUGCUGCAUGGUGGGGGUUGGAAAGCUUCGGCGGUUUUGGAUGGACUCGCGGCUUAUCAGCAUGGUGGUGGGGUAGUGGCUUACCAAGGCUUUGACGGGUAGCCGGCCUGUGAGGGGGACCGGCCAGAGUGGGAAUGCGAUACGGCCCAGACUCCUACGGGAGGCAGCAAGGGGGAAAAUUGGACAAUGGGCGGAAGCCGGAUGCAGCAACGGCGGGUGCGGGAUGACGGCCUUCGGGUUGGAAACCGCCUGCAGCAGGGGCGAAGCUUGUGGUGACGGUACCUGCAGAAGAAGCACCGGCUAACUACGUG
rnacentral:rRNA from 1 species